GACGCUGGCGGCGUGGAUAAGACAUGCAAGUCGAACGGGAACACUGAAUAGCUUGCUAAUUAGUGUUUUAGUGGCGGACGGGUUAGUAACACGUGAGCAACCUGCCUCGAAGCGGGGGAUAGCCUUCCGAAAGGGAGAUUAAUACCGCAUGUGGUCUUCGGACCAAAGACGCCUUCGGGUGUCACUUCGAGAUGGGCUCGCGGCCUAUCAGCUUGUUGGUGAGGUAAUAGCUCACCAAGGCUACGACGGGUAGCUGUUCUGAGAGGAAGAUCAGCAACACUGGAACUGAGACACGGUCCAGACACCUACGGGUGGCAGCAGUCGAGAAUCAUUCACAAUGGGGGCAACCCUGAUGGUGCAACGCCGCGUGGAGGAUGAAGGCCCUAGGGUCGUAAACUCCUGUCAUGUGAGAGUAAGGCAUAGUCGGUUAAGAGCUAACUAUGUUUGAUAGUAUCACAAGAGGAAGGGACGGCUAACUUCGUGCCAGCAGCCGCGGUAAUACGAAGGUCCCGAGCGUUAUUCGGAAUCACUGGGCGUAAAGAGUACGUAGGCGGUUUGGUAAGUCAGGUGUGAAAUCCCGGAGCUCAACUCCGGAACUGCAUCCGAUACUGCUAGACUAGAGUAAUGGAGAGGCAGGUGGAAUUCUCGGUGUAGCAGUGAAAUGCGUGGAUAUCGAGAGGAAGACCAAUGGCGAAGGCAGCCUGCUGGACAUUUACUGACGCUGAGGUACGAAGGCCAGGGUAGCGAAAGGGAUCAGAUACCCCUGUAGUCCUGGCAGUAAACGGUGCGCGCCUUUGGGUGUAGGAGGACUCGACCCCUUCUGUGCCGGAGCUAACGCGUAA
rnacentral:rRNA from 1 species